rnacentral:rRNA from 1 species
GACGAACGCUGGCGGCGUGCCUAAUACAUGCAAGUAGAACGCUGAAGGAGGAGCUUGCUUCUCUGGAUGAGUUGCGAACGGGUGAGUAACGCGUAGGUAACCUGCCUGGUAGCGGGGGAUAACUAUUGGAAACGAUAGCUAAUACCGCAUAAGAGUAGAUGUUGCAUGACAUUUGCUUAAAAGGUGCAAUUGCAUCACUACCAGAUGGACCUGCGUUGUAUUAGCUAGUUGGUGGGGUAACGGCUCACCAAGGCGACGAUACAUAGCCGACCUGAGAGGGUGAUCGGCCACACUGGAACUGAGACACGGCCCAGACUCCUACGGGAGGCAGCAGUAGGGAAUCUUCGGCAAUGGACGGAAGUCUGACCGAGCAACGCCGCGUGAGUGAAGAAGGUUUUCGGAUCGUAAAGCUCUGUUGUAAGAGAAGAACGAGUGUGAGAGUGGAAAGGUCACACUGUGACGGUAUCUUACCAGAAAGGGACGGCUAACUACGU